rnacentral:rRNA from 1 species
UACGGGGGGAGCAAGCGUUGUUCGGAUUUACUGGGCGUAAAGGGUGCGCAGGCGGAUAUGUAAGUCAGUGGUGGAAUCUCCGGGCUUAACCCGGAAAUUGCCGUUGAUACUAUAUAUCUUGAAUGCUGUGGAGGUAAGCAGAAUAUGUCAUGUAGCGGUGAAAUGCUUAGAUAUGACAUAGAAUACCUAUUGCGAAGGCAGCUUACUACGCAGAUAUUGACGCUCAUGCACGAAAGCGUGGGGAUCAAACAGG